rnacentral:rRNA from 1 species
GACAGAGGUGCCGAGCGUUAGGCGGAAUCACUGGGCUUAAAGCGUGUGUAGGUGGGUCCGUAAGUACCUUGUGAAAUCCCACGGCUCAACCGUGGAACUGCUUGGUAUACUGCGGGUCUUGAGCCACCUAGGGGCAAGCGGAACAAGCGGUGGAGCGGUGAAAUGCGUAGAUAUCGCUUGGAACGCCAAUGGUGAAAACAGCUUGCUGGGGGUGUGCUGACGCUGAGACACGAAAGCCAGGGGAGCAAACGGG